rnacentral:rRNA from 1 species
UUACGGGAGGCAGCAGUGGGGAAUCUUGCGCAAUGGGGGAAACCCUGACGCAGCAACGCCGCGUGAGUGACGAAGGCUUUCGGGUCGUAAAGCUCUGUCAGAUGGGAAGAAUAAAUCCUCCGAAAAUAUUUGAGGAUUAUGACGGUACCAUCAGAGGAAGCACCGGCUAACUCCGUGCCAGCAGCCGCGGUAAUACGGAGGGUGCAAGCGUUGUUCGGAAUUAUUGGGCGUAAAGGGCGUGUAGGCGGGAAGAUAGGUCGGGUGUGAAAUCCCUUGGCUUAACCAAGGAACUGCAUUUGAAACCAUCUUCCUCGAGUACGAUAGGGGAGGGCGGAAUUCCCAGUGUAGAGGUGAAAUUCAUAGAUAUUGGGAGGAACACCAGUGGCGAAGGCGACCCUCUGGAUCGAUACUGACGCUGAGACGCGAAAGCGUGGGGAGCAAACAGGAUUAGAUACCCUGGUAGC